rnacentral:rRNA from 1 species
GGGACACGUGGUAUCCUGUCUGAAUAUGGGGGGACCAUCCUCCAAGGCUAAAUACUCCUGACUGACCGAUAGUGAACCAGUACCGUGAGGGAAAGGCGAAAAGAACCCCGGCGAGGGGAGUGAAAAAGAACCUGAAACCGUGUACGUACAAGCAGUGGGAGCACGCUUAGGCGUGUGACUGCGUACCUUUUGUAUAAUGGGUCAGCGACUUAUAUUCUGUAGCAAGGUUAACCGAAUAGGGGAGCCGAAGGGAAACCGAGUCUUAACUGGGCGUUAAGUUGCAGGGUAUAGACCCGAAACCCGGUGAUCUAGCCAUGGGCAGGUUGAAGGUUGGGUAACACUAACUGGAGGACCGAACCGACUAAUGUUGAAAAAUUAGCGGAUGACUUGUGGCUGGGGGUGAAAGGCCAAUCAAACCGGGAGAUAGCUGGUUCUCCCCGAAAGCUAUUUAGGUAGCGCCUCGUGAAUUCAUCUCCGGGGGUAGAGCACUGUUUCGGCAAGGGGGUCAUCCCGACUUACCAACCCGAUGCAAACUGCGAAUACCGGAGAAUGUUAUCACGGGAGACACACGGCGGGUGCUAACGUCCGUCGUGAAGAGGGAAACAACCCAGACCGCCAGCUAAGGUCCCAAAGUCAUGGUUAAGUGGGAAACGAUGUGGGAAGGCCCAGACAGCCAGGAUGUUGGCUUAGAAGCAGCCAUCAUUUAAAGAAAGCGUAAUAGCUCACUGGUCGAGUCGGCCUGCGCGGAAGAUGUAACGGGGCUAAACCAUGCACCGAAGCUGCGGCAGCGACACUAUGUGUUGUUGGGUAGGGGAGCGUUCUGUAAGCCUGUGAAGGUGUACUGUGAGGUAUGCUGGAGGUAUCAGAAGUGCGAAUGCUGACAUAAGUAACGAUAAAGCGGGUGAAAAGCCCGCUCGCCGGAAGACCAAGGGUUCCUGUCCAACGUUAAUCGGGGCAGGGUGAGUCGACCCCUAAGGCGAGGCCGAAAGGCGUAGUCGAUGGGAAACAGGUUAAUAUUCCUGUACUUGGUGUUACUGCGAAGGGGGGACGGAGAAGGCUAUGUUGGCCGGGCGACGGUUGUCCCGGUUUAAGCGUGUAGGCUGGUUUUCCAGGCAAAUCCGGAAAAUCAAGGCUGAGGCGUGAUGACGAGGCACUACGGUGCUGAAGCAACAAAUGCCCUGCUUCCAGGAAAAGCCUCUAAGCAUCAGGUAACAUCAAAUCGUACCCCAAACCGACACAGGUGGUCAGGUAGAGAAUACCAAGGCGCUUGAGAGAACUCGGGUGAAGGAACUAGGCAAAAUGGUGCCGUAACUUCGGGAGAAGG